CCCCGUGUGAACCCUGCGGGUGGGAAUCAUUACA
rnacentral:rRNA from 1 species